GAGCNGUCAGGCGCAGUGAAAGCUUGCUUCCUCGCCGGCGAGCGGCGGACGGGUGAGUAAUGUCUGGGGAUCUGCCCGAUGGAGGGGGAUAACCACUGGAAACGGUGGCUAAUACCGCAUAACGUCGCAAGACCAAAGUGGGGGACCUUCGGGCCUCACACCAUCGGAUGAACCCAGAUGGGAUUAGCUAGUAGGUGGGGUAAUGGCUCACCUAGGCGACGAUCCCUAGCUGGUCUGAGAGGAUGACCAGCCACACUGGAACUGAGACACGGUCCAGACUCCUACGGGAGGCAGCAGUGGGGAAUAUUGCACAAUGGGCGCAAGCCUGAUGCAGCCAUGCCGCGUGUGUGAAGAAGGCCUUCGGGUUGUAAAGCACUUUCAGCGAGGAGGAAGGUGGUGAACUUAAUACGUUCAUCAAUUGACGUUACUCGCAGAAGAAGCACCGGCUAACUCCGUGCCAGCAGCCGCGGUAAUACGGAGGGUGCAAGCGUUAAUCGGAAUUACUGGGCGUAAAGCGCACGCAGGCGGUUUGUUAAGUCAGAUGUGAAAUCCCCGAGCUUAACUUGGGAACUGCAUUUGAAACUGGCAAGCUAGAGUCUCGUAGAGGGGGGUAGAAUUCCAGGUGUAGCGG
rnacentral:rRNA from 1 species